rnacentral:rRNA from 1 species
CCAAUAGCGUAUAUUAAAGUUGUUGCAGUUAAAAAGCUCGUAGUUGAACUUCGGGGUUUACCCAUUGGUCAGGCUUAAUUGUCUGUACUGGUGAGAUAAAUCUCUACCUUCUGAGGAACUUUCAUGUCAUUAAUUUGGUGUGAUGGGGAAUCAGGACUGUUACUUUGAAAAAAUUAGAGUGUUUAAAGCAGGCUAACGUCUGAAUACAUUAGCAUGGAAUAAUGAAAUAGGACGGACUGAUUCUAUUUCGUUGGUUUCUAGGAUCACCGUAAUGAUUAAUAGGGAUAGUUGGGGGCAUUAGUAUUCAAUUGUCAGAGGUGAAAUUCUUGGAUUUAUUGAAGACUAACUACUGCGAAAGCAUUUGCCAAGGAUGUUUUCAUUAAUCAAGAACGAAAGUUAGUGGAUCGAAGACGAUCAGAUACCGGCGUAGUCUUAACCAUAAACUAUGCCGACUAGGGAUCGGACGAAGUUAAUUUUAUAAUGACGCGUUCGGCACCUUACG